rnacentral:rRNA from 1 species
UGCAGAUUUUUUGUCUUACAGGAAACAUUAUCUAUAAGAUACAUAAAAUCUAGUUAGGCUUCUGAGGAUAAGCUCAGGAGCAUUUCGGUUUGUAUACAAAAUGUUAAAUAGUCAAAUUUAGGCUUGAAAAUGGCCACAAUGUAUGAUUUUGUUAUAAUUUCAUCACUAUUAAUCACAUAG